UCACGGGGUGGGCUUCCUAGCAAGGGAACAGCACAGGCCCGAGGCCAAGGCCAGAAUGUUCCAGCAGGUUCCGAACAGCCAGAAAUCUGGGCUGCAGGAGUAUCCACAGGCCUGGGGGAGGGGAGCUCCGCCUUCAUUGAGUGACUCAAGGAUCCCCUUCCCCUGCCCCCGGCCCCUCAACUGCAGGUCACCUGCAGGGUCCUGGAGGCAGGCAGGCCGGCCUGGAGCUGGGGCUGUCUAACCUGCAGACGUGGAUGACGUAGCCCCAGGAUGCACGCCUGAGGAAGAGGAGGCCAUGGGCACAAGGGAGACAGGCCUGGGAGUGCCCGUCAACUGCCCCCACAGCCCAUGGAGCUCUGGCGGGCUCUCAGAGGCUGGCAGUCGGAGGACACCUGCUGACUGCACUCCCCUGGUCCUCAGGGUCCUGGCAGCCCGUCUGCAUCCCCACACUGAAUGCCAGCACUGAGCAUCUGGGACACUGGCCAGUAUCGGACCUGAGGACCCCCAGCCAGGGCAGGGCCGUCUGGACAACCCCACACAGAGUCCUGCCCAAGUUCCAGUCCUCAAGCAGUGUGACCUCGACCUCCAGCAGAUGGGACAGUGGAAACAUGGACGGCGCCCAUUGAGGAAGGCUGGAGGCAGUGCCCUACAGACUCGAGAAUUAGGCAGGGGGGCACGAGUAGCUCCACUCUGCUGGCACCCCCCCUCACAUUUAAAAUGCCAUUUUCUUUCCCACCCCAAGAAAACCCUCUCAGCCACGGACCUGGAGACAUCCUGCCAGUUUCCUGGUCAUGAUGCAGUUCCCGUCUAACACAUCACAUUCAGCUUGCUAAUAUUUUAAGUAUUUUCUAUAUUCAUGAGGGAAAUUGAUCUGUAUCUUUUUUUGUGAUGUCCUGUUUACUAUCAAGGUCGUAUUGAUCUUAUACAAUGAGUUGCAAAGAGUUCCCUCCUCUCUUUUCUGUAUGCUGUUAGAUUGCUAUUUCUCUCUUAAAUGUUUAAUAAAUUCACCAGCAAAGCCA